CAAUAGCGUAUAUUAAAGUUGUUGCGGUUAAAAAGCUCGUAGUUGGAUUUCUGUUGGGAACGACCGGUCCGCCCAUUGGGUGUGUAUCUGGCUUGUUCUCGGCAUCUUCUUGGUGAACGUUGCUGCACUUGACUGUGUGGAGCGCUACCCAGGACUUUUACUUUGAGGAAAUUAGAGUGUUUCAAGCAGGCAUAUGCCUUGAAUACAUUAGCAUGGAAUAAUAAGAUAGGACCUCGGUUCUAUUUUGUUGGUUUCUAGAGCUGAGGUAAUGAUUAAUAGGGAUAGUUGGGGGCAUUCGUAUUUAACUGUCAGAGGUGAAAUUCUUGAAUUUGUUAAAGACGGACUACUGCGAAAGCAUUUGCCAAGGAUGUUUUCAUUGA
rnacentral:rRNA from 1 species